AUACGGAGGGUGCAAGCGUUACUCGGAAUUACUGGGCGUAAAGGACGCGUAGGCGGUUUUUAAAGUCAGAUGUGAAAGCCUAUGGCUUAACCAUAGAACUGCAUUUGAAACUUCUAAACUAGAGUGAGGGAGAGGUCAGUGGAAUUAGUGGUGUAGGGGUAAAAUCCGUAGAGAUCACUAGGAAUACUCAUAGCGAAGGCGACUGACUGGAACUUUACUGACGCUGAGGCGUGAAAGCGUGGGGAGCAAACAGGAUUAGAUACCCCGGUAGUCC
rnacentral:rRNA from 1 species